UGGCUCACGCAUCGAUGAAGAACGCAGCGAAAUGCGAUAAGUAAUGUGAAUUGCAGAUUUCAGUGAAUCAUCGAAUCUUUGAACGCACCUUGCACCCUUUGGUAUUCCGAAGGGUAUGCCUGUUUGAGUGUCAUUAAAUCAUCAACUCCAAAUACUUUUGUGGUAGCUUGGAGCUUGGAUGUGGGAGUGUGCAGGCUGCGACCAGCGGUCAGCUCUCCUCAAAUGCAUUAGCUGGGGUUUCUGCCUCCUGCCCAAUGGUGUGAUAAUUAUCAUCGCCAAGCGGGUGUUGGCUCUAUGGCCCUGCUUCCAAUCGUCCUUGUGACAGUCUCUCUGAGGCUUACACUGACCAUUGUGACCUCAAAUCAGGCAGGAUUACCCGCUGA
rnacentral:misc_RNA from 1 species